UACGAAGGGGGCUAGCGUUGUUCGGAUUUACUGGGCGUAAAGCGCACGUAGGCGGAUCGUUAAGUCGGGGGUGAAAUCCUGGAGCUCAACUCCAGAACUGCCUUCGAUACUGGCGAUCUUGAGUCCGGAAGAGGUGAGUGGAACUCCUAGUGUAGAGGUGGAAUUCGUAGAUAUUAGGAAGAACACCAGUGGCGGAAGGCGGACUCACUGGUCCGGUACUGGACGCUGAGACGGCGAAAAGCGUGGGGGAGGCGAAC
rnacentral:rRNA from 1 species